rnacentral:misc_RNA from 1 species
GAUGAAGAACGUAGCGAAAUGCGAUACGUAAUGUGAAUUGCAGAAUUCAGUGAAUCAUCGAGUCUUUGAACGCACAUUGCGCCCGCCAGUAUUCUGGCGGGCAUGCCUGUCCGAGCGUCAUUUCAACCCUCGAACCCCUCCGGGGGGUCGGCGUUGGGGAUCGGCCCUUUACGGGGCCGGCCCCGAAAUACAGUGGCGGUCUCGCCGCAGCCUCUCCUGCGCAGUAGUUUGCACACUCGCAUCGGGAGCGCGGCGCGUCCACAGCCGUUAAACACCCCAAACUUCUGAAAUGUUGACCUCGGAUCAGGUAGGAAUACCCGCUGAACUUAAGCAUAUCAAUAAGCGGAGGA